rnacentral:lncRNA from 1 species
GGAGAAUGGCGCCAAAUGGGUAGGAACAGGUCGUGAUGUCCGCCGAAUGUUGUGUAGCAGGCGGGACAAAAGAGCGAUCUCAGGCCUCAUCUCGUCUCUUUUGUAGGUCACGGAUGGCGAGGGGGCACAGGAGCUCUCGAUGUGACCUGGCGCUGUGGAUGUGAUGCACAGCAGCUUGAGUGGGACUGCUCCGCUGUCCUCAUGAGAGAACGCUUUUUCUGAAGAUGGGAGGUGGCUAAUGAAAGAAGGAAUUGUGUUCUCGGUGAUGCCUGGAAGAGAUGCGUGACGUUGGAAGAUGAUUACGAAAUACAGGAAAGGAAUGAAAUCAAAGGAUGUUUUUUGUAAGAGUAACACUUACAGAAAUAUUCAUUAAUUUGAAGAUUUAUAUAAGGCCUGGUGACCUCCGUUAAUUCCUGGGACCCACAGUGUGGAAGAAGAGACCUGACUCCUGAAAGUUGUCUUCUGACCACAUAUACACAAUAUGUAAAUAAAUGUAAUUAAAAAAUCA